UUGAACGCUGGCGGCAUGCCUUACACAUGCAAGUCGAACGGUAGAGGGGCAACCCUUGAGAGUGGCGAACGGGUGAGUAAUAUAUCGGAACGUGCCCAGUCGUGGGGGAUAACGCAGCGAAAGCUGCGCUAAUACCGCAUACGAUCUAAGGAUGAAAGCGGGGGAUCGCAAGACCUCGCGCGAUUGGAGCGGCCGAUAUCAGAUUAGGUUGUUGGUGGGGUAAAAGCCUACCAAGCCGACGAUCUGUAGCUG
rnacentral:rRNA from 1 species